rnacentral:ncRNA from 1 species
GUUCUUCGGGGCAGGGUGAAAUUCCCUACCGGCGGUGACAGUCCGCGACCUGCUUUGGCAGCUGAUUUGGUGAAAUUCCAAAACCGACAGUAUAGUCUGGAUGAGAGAAGAA